ensembl:processed_transcript
GUAAUAGCCAGUCGCACCUCUACUGUACUCGAAAUACAUGUCAGUGAGAUUAACAUUCAUUAUUCUGACCAGACGGCUUAAACGGCCAUUCCAGAAAGGGAGUCCCCCUCAGGACAGCGGAACUCCACCUCGGCUGUGAUGGUGGAUUGAGGCGUGCAGCAGCGGUCGUCUGUACAUACACCACAGAACUUUGGCUUAUACAGCCUGAUGCUCUGGCAUCCAGACAACUCGAAACGCAUCCCACUCUGGCUUUUUGGGAUCUGCAUGGCAGGGGCGGAUCAUGCACAUGCGGGUCUGUCGUUCCAGCUGGCAUUGCUCAUUGUCAUUGGUUACACGGGAGGACACGCCCAUGCCACAGGUUGCAGAGCAUUCGCUCCAUUCAGUGGUCUGAACGAUGCAGUUGUCCCUCGCACUCUCAGGCUGGAGACCGUGAGCGGAAAUUUCUCUGUAUGCUGAUAGAUUAAAAAGUGGAUAUUAAAAUCAUGCACUAAUAA